CAAUAGCGUAUAUUAAAGUUGUUGCGGUUAAAAAGCUCGUAGUUGGAUCUCGGCAGGCAGGGGGUGGUUCGCUCUUAGCGCUACUGCCCCAUUUGCCUGUGUGAUUGGCGGAGGUUUCGGGGUGCUCUUCGUUGAGUGACCCGGGGCGCCGUCAGGUUUACUUUGAAAAAAUUAGAGUGCUCAAAGCAGGCUUUUCACGCUUGAAUAUUCGUGCAUGGAAUAAUGGAAUAGGAACUCGUUUCUAUUUUGUUGGUUUUCGGAAAUCGAGUUAAUGAUUAAUAGGGACAAUUGGGGGCAUUAGUAUUCAGACGACAGAGGUGAAAUUCUUGGACCGUCUGAAGACUAACUACUGCGAAAGCAUUUGCCUAGAGUGUUUUCAUUAA
rnacentral:rRNA from 1 species